rnacentral:lncRNA from 1 species
AGGUUUUUCCAUGUAACAUCAACAGAAAGCAAAGCUGUAUCAAAUAGGGCCAAAUUCAAGAAGAUGCCAGUGAAGCACUAGGGCACAGCCUUGAUCACAAACCCCAAAGGAAUACUACUUUAAAUUUUAAAACUGCUCAAUUAAUAUGAAUAAGUGAGGUGGUUUGUGUUUGCUUAGUACAAUGCAAAUCACUGAGGAUGUUUGCAGGAAACCUGUUCUCCUUGAUAACUCCUGCUGUCUCUGCAACACCUGCAAAGAUCUUUCCCUGCUAGAGGAGAAACAAGUGGCCUAGAAGAAAAGAGUUCCUCUUUUCCCAACUAUCUGGGACACUUUAAAUAAUGUUGUUUCAAAAUGACAAGAAUGGCGACAUGUUUAUAUCUGCUGUUCCUUUUUGGGUUGGCCUCAUGAGGCAGUUCUUACUGUCAAAUCUUCCACAGCAGGAUGUGUGCACAGAAGAUUACUGCAGGCACUACCCAGAGGAUUAAAAAAAUACAUAUUACAUAUCAUAGGAAAACAGGACAGCUCUUCUAUGUUCUCCGUAGAGGGUCAGAAAUAGGAUGUGUUAUACACCUAGGUUUAUGUCUGCACAGUUUAUGUCCUGCAGCAUGCUGAUUUGAAUAUAUUUAAAGGAAACAAGAAGGAGUUAUGUGGUGGGAGAAAGGUAAAGAAAUAAAAUUAAGUGACAGGUGUAUAUUAGUUUGCUAGGGCUGCAGUAAUAAGGAACCAUGAAUUGAGUGGCUUAAAACAUCAGAAAUGUAUUGUCUCAUGGUUCUGGAGGCUAGAAGUUCAAGAUCAAGUUGCCGGCAGGGUUGGGCCCUUCUAAAGACUGGGAGCGACACUGUUUCAUGCCUCUCCCCUAGCUUCUGAUGGGUAGCUGGCAAUCUUGGCAUCUUCUGGCUUGUAGACACAUUAUCCUGAUCUCUGCUAUUAUCUUCACAUGAAGUUCUCAUGAUGUUCUCCCUGUGUGUCUAUCUGUGUGUCCAAAUUUCACCUAUUUAUGAGGACACCAGUCAUAGUGAAGUCACUAUGACCUCGUCUUAACUCAUUAAAUUUGCAAUGUUCUAUUUCCAAAUAAGGUCACAUUCUGAGGUACAGGGAGUUAGGACUUCAACAUAUGAAUGAGGACUGGGGGGUAGCACAAUGCAACCCAUGCCACAGGUGCUUUAUUCAUGUUAGCUCAUUUAAUCUACAAAACAAUUCCAUAAGAAAGAAGACCAUGUUUCUCUUCUUAGUGAUAAAGAAGUGGAAGCUCAGUAAGAACUCUAAAGCGCAUGGCCAUGGAAAAGGACACUAGUAAUAAGUUACGGAAACUACUCAGUCCAGUAUCUGGGCAGAAUCACUAUUCCAUAUAAGUUUUUCCGGGAUGAAAAAAAGGAAAGAAAAAUAAAGGCUACCCUGCAAGAGCCCCCUUUGUUAACACACACUGUUUGCAUCCUGGCUCAAGUGUGAAUCCUCCUACCAAGCUGUAAAUCUUCACUCCUGCUUUUCUACAGAAUCCAAGAACAACUUUGUUUGCAAACUUGCUUUGGAAAUGAGAGUGAGGUAAGUUUUCCAGUGUCUGACAGCUAGGAAGUACCAGGACACUGUAUCUCAAAGACUCCAAGUUGAGACCUUUCCUGUGUGCCACAAUGCCGGAACAAACUCCCUCCCCGAGUACGAGAUUCCAGAAGCAGAACCGUGGACAAUUUUUAAACUCAGAAAGCCUCCUGUGGAGUUGGGACUCACAGCUCACAGCCACGAAAUCACUGUCCAUUAACUGUUUGGUUUCCUGAGAGCAGAGAUUAGGGAUCCUCAGUCUUGCCUGUAUAUCAAUACCACCUGGGACCACUCAGACCAGGUGAAUCAAUGUCCCUGCAGGUUGGGCCCAGGUAAUGGUUUAUUACGUGUUCUAUGUAAGUUUAGGGUAUAACCAAGUGGUUAGAAUUACUAACUAAAUCAAACCUCUUUACUGACCAAUUACAUUAGAAUGUAAAUUCU